AUUAUAAAUUUUAUAUGAAGGCAGGUAAGGAAUUGGUUGGAAAUUGGCUUUGGAUUUGAGGUGGGUCAUGAUCGUUGAUUUGCUUGAACUUGUUCUCGAGCCCAAUGUCAUUGAAAUUUAAUUUUUGCUGAACUGUUUCAGACCGGACUCGACAAGACUAAAAACAGGACCGUGACUUAAUAAAAAGGGUUAAUCAAACCUUUUUUCUUAUACAAAAAUAAUUAUCUAAUCAGGACCAAAACCUAUUUAAUUAUAACCUUAGCAUGGUUACAACUCCAUCAGGUUAAUAAAUCGGGUCAACACAUCUCCUUCUUAUAUGUUUUUCUGUAGCUUUCUUGAAAGAUCGUCACCAAGAGAGAGAGACAAGUUCAGAGUCUGGUUUAAGAAAAGAAUUAUUUACUUCUUACCAUAUUUUAAAUUUAUUUCAAUGAUUAUUCAAUUUCAUGGUAAAAUAUGUAUUUAUCAGUUUAAGAAUAUUGAUAAGUGCUAUGGAAAGAUAACUAAAUUAUA
rnacentral:lncRNA from 1 species